rnacentral:rRNA from 1 species
UGAGCAAUCUGCCCUUCUCUUUGGAAUAAGCGUUGGAAACGACGUCUAAUGCCGAAUACGACCUCCUUUCGCAUGAUCGGAGGUGGAAAGCUCCGGCGGAGAAGGAUGAGCUCGCGGCCUAUCAGCUAGUUGGUGUGGGUAAUGGCCCACAAGGCGACGACGGGUAGCCGGCCUGAGGAGGGUGACCCGGCCACACGUGGGACUGAGACACGGCCCAGACCUCCGUACGGGGAGG